rnacentral:rRNA from 1 species
GUGGGGAAUUUUGGACAAUGGGGGCAACCCUGAUCCAGCAAUGCCGCGUGCAGGAAGAAGGCCUUCGGGUUGUAAACUGCUUUUGUACGGAACGAAACGGUCCUGGUUAAUACCUGGGGCUAAUGACGGUACCGUAAGAAUAAGCACCGGCUAACUACGUGCCAGCAGCCGCGGUAAUACGUAGGGUGCAAGCGUUAAUCGGAAUUACUGGGCGUAAAGCGUGCGCAGGCGGUUUUGUAAGACAGGCGUGAAAUCCCCGGGCUCAACCUGGGAAUGGCGCUUGUGACUGCAAGGCUGGAGUGCGGCAGAGGGGGAUGGAAUUCCGCGUGUAGCAGUGAAAUGCGUAGAUAUGCGGAGGAACACCGAUGGCGAAGGCAAUCCCCUGGGCCUGCACUGACGCUCAUGCACGAAAGCGUGGGGAGCAAACAGGAUUAGAUACCCCAGUAGUCC